UCCGCCUUGGUGUAACGGCAGCACGGCAGUCUUUGGAACUGUUAGGACCAGGUUCGAAUCCUGGAGGCGGAGCCG
rnacentral:tRNA from 2 species